CGACGCCAAACGUCAAGUCAUUAAAAUCGAUGCAGUAAACAACAGUUCGCCGUCCGCUGGUUCGCCGGCAAAAACUCUUAAAGCAGACCAAAUCAAUACAGAAAGGACGUGGUGCGCAUCAUCAUCGCCUGACAACAUCAACAUCAACCAAUUUGUCGACCAGUAACUGGUCGAAUGUGCGAACAGUUCCCACCGGCAGCACGGACAGUUGAUCUCCUUUGGGAACCACACGUCGACAUUUCCGGCGGAAUUGUUGCGACUACUGGGAGCACUGUUGUGAUAAAUCGAGAAAGAUGCUGCUAAGAAACUAAUUCGUUCGAAAGACAACAAAAGCGCUUCUCUAGGAGGUGCUAAAGAACAAACUGCUAAUUUCGCAAUAGAAAUUAAUGCCAAACAAGAGAUGCAAGUGCUAACAGGAAACCACGUCGGGCCACAUUGAUCGAUUGCGCCAGGAAAAUGACCGACACCGCAAGCAGGCCGAAAUAUUAUUCGCCUAAAAAGCAGUUCAAUCAACUCCAAACACCAUCG